UCGAGCGAACAGACGAGGAGCUUGCUCCUCUGACGUUAGCGGCGGACGGGUGAGUAACACGUGGAUAACCUACCUAUAAGACUGGGAUAACUUCGGGAAACCGGAGCUAAUACCGGAUAAUAUAUUGAACCGCAUGGUUCAAUAGUGAAAGACGGUUUUGCUGUCACUUAUAGAUGGAUCCGCGCCGCAUUAGCUAGUUGGUAAGGUAACGGCUUACCAAGGCAACGAUGCGUAGCCGACCUGAGAGGGUGAUCGGCCACACUGGAACUGAGACACGGUCCAGACUCCUACGGGAGGCAGCAGUAGGGAAUCUUCCGCAAUGGGCGAAAGCCUGACGGAGCAACGCCGCGUGAGUGAUGAAGGUCUUCGGAUCGUAAAACUCUGUUAUUAGGGAAGAACAAAUGUGUAAGUAACUAUGCACGUCUUGACGGUACCUAAUCAGAAAGCCACGGCUAACUACGUGCCAGCAGCCGCGGUAAUACGUAGGUGGCAAGCGUUAUCCGGAAUUAUUGGGCGUAAAGCGCGCGUAGGCGGUUUUUUAAGUCUGAUGUGAAAGCCCACGGCUCAACCGUGGAGGGUCAUUGGAAACUGGAAAACUUGAGUGCAGAAGAGGAAAGUGGAAUUCCAUGUGUAGCGGUGAAAUGCGCAGAGAUAUGGAGGAACACCAGUGGCGAAGGCGACUUUCUGGUCUGUAACUGACGCUGAUGUGCGAAAGCGUGGGGAUCAAACAGGAUUA
rnacentral:rRNA from 1 species